rnacentral:misc_RNA from 1 species
AACGCACGAGACCUGCGGACCUGCGGAGGGAUCAUUAACGAAUCGUAUGGACUUUGCUGUCGCUGGCUCUCUCUCUCUGGGAGCAUGUGCACGCUCAGUUUCAAACCUUUCAUUCUUUAACCUCCUGUGCACUUUUGUGGAUUGCAGAUUGGAUAAUUUUCAUUCAAAGUAACAUUUGGUCUUGGAAAAUGCGCAUAUAUGCGCUCUUUCCUACUUCUGUCUGCGGUUCAUGUCUUUUUA